CAGGCAGAGUGGAUGGCCAGUGUGAGGUCCUGAGGCAAGAACCUGCUUGGCUGAAAACAGCAAACCUGCCCCUGUGGCUGGGGCAGAGUUUUAGGAGAUGACAGCUGAGGGGAAACUGGAACCAGCUUUUGUAGGGCUUUAUGGACCCUGGAAUGAAGAUCCAGAGAUCAUGCUUCAAUGGAGCAGAAGUUUGAGAGUACCAAAUCUGUGUCCACCAAGAAGAGGACCUAAUGAUGGAAGGGGAUCCCAAAGACCAGUUGGCAGAUGGGUUUUGUGAAUGAAAAGACAAAGUGGCCUGUCAGCAGCUCUCUAAGGAAGCAGGAAGGGAUGGUCAGCACAGGCUGUUUUAUGACUUCUGAGGCUGUGGGACAGGCAACCUUAUCAUAGCCUCAGCCCUGCAAAGCACACAGUGCCCAGGCAGCUAUGAGACUACAUCUGUGGGAAAAUCCAUAUUUCUAUGGACUGAGUCAGGCUAAAUUAAACAUGAGGGUAAUUUGACACAUCUGAAUUUCAUCACCAUUAUAUCACUCUGUAGACCUUGUAAAUUUUCAUAAUGACAUUUUUGCUAGGUUGGAGUAAGCUGCCUGCAUCUUAGGUGUGUUACUUUAAAACUUUAAAACAGACUAAUAAAAUGAGGUGUUGGCCAGCUAAUCACAUGUAGUCAUCUCCUCAGAAGGAUCCAGGCAGCAAAACGAACCAGAGUUAUGAGUAAGUGUCCUGAGGUGGCCCUGAGGGCACAGACCCUGACCAUACCCUUUCUCUUGGAAACAGUGACAGGAUGGCCAGAGCUGUGUACAUGCCACCAGGCAUCCCUCUCCUGUGGGAGACUGUGUGAUCUGCAAACCCCAGAAUUUGUAUAACCUGGAAUCCCGGGACCUUGGAAAUAUGAUCUAUGACCUGCCCUGCUCGCUUCAUCUCCCUUAAGAACUGGACAUCAACAUCAUUAUUUUGAGAUGGUACAAGGGGCUCACCUGGAUGGAGGUGAACACCCACCCAUCACCUGGCAUUGCUAAGCACUGUUACAUGUGGUGUUACUGUCAUGAUUUUCUAAAACUGAAGGACAAGAUCAAUGUUUGAUGACGGGUCAGAGCAUUUGGAAUCAAGACUGUCCUGGAACUAACUGUGUGUGUCAUAAUGUCAUGUUUCUCAUGUGGUACCGGCUCUAUAUGGGUCACUAUGUCUAAACAGGACUCAGUCUCUGCCAGGCUACAUGAAAGGUUUGAUUUUGUCCCUUAUCUGCCUUCCAGUUCAUAGCUUCCUCAAUUGGCUCUUCACCCCAGGAUGAGCCAACCUAGAGAUUUUCUUCUGGAGCUGUCCUUCCCUGGCCCCUCCCUUCCCUCUAUACUGGGCUCCAUUCCUGACCUGAGCCAACCUGAGCUUCGGCUUCUCUUUCCUGGCCCUGCUUCUCUCCUACUCACUUUCUUUCCUGAUUCCUCUCUUCCAUCAGAGCCUGGACCCCUGAGCCCUUCAGCUUGGGUCUCUGUCCUAUCACAGAUUAAAAUCCACAGCUGUCUCUACAAGAGGGCUACUGUGGGUGCAUAUAUGCUUGAGAGGAAGCCCUUCUCCAUUUUAGGGCUAGCUCAUCUGGAGGAGUGGGGUACUCCGGAAACUCACAGGGCAGCCCAUGGCUGGUCUACGCCAGAAAGCAUUCCCUGAAAUGCUAGAUCCCGCUGAUCUCUUCUCCUAACAUUCUGUCAUAGGCUGUGUCUGUGCUAUCCUUGUCAAUUAUUUGUUGAAUUACUCAUUUGACAAAGACUUAUAGAGCUCCUACUACAUGAUGAAUGGGUCCCUCAAUAAACACAGCAAAGUUCCUGCCCUCAUUCAUAUGUUCUUGUGGAGGAGACAGAUAAUAAAAUAAGAAAACAAAUCAUAAAAUUAAGUAUUAAAAAAUAAGUAAGGCAGGAUGGGGGAAUAGAGUGGCAGGACUUGGUGGGGGUAGGAUAGAUAUUUAGAUUAGAAUGAUCAAGAGGUGAUAGCAGACCUAAAAAUGUCGAUCAGAAGCUAACCAUGUGAAGAUCUGUGGGUAGGAGUGUCCCAAAUAGAGCAAACAGUGAGUGCGAAGGCCCCAGGACAGUAACAAGGUUGGCAUGUUGAAGACAUUGCAAAAAGGUCAGUGUGGUCACCACACAACCACAACGGGAGGAGCGAUUAAGAUGCUGGAGACAGUCAGGGUCCAGAUCGUAUAAGGCAGAUUUCCUCCACCCCAGAACUAUCAACAUUUUGGGUCAGAUGAUUUUUUUGUUGCAGGUGCUUGUCCUGUGCAUGUUGUUUUGCUGUGCAUGUUGUUUUGUGCAUGUUGUUACUGGCUGCCAGUAACACCCCUGAAGCCUCCACCACCCCCUUUAUGACCACAGAAAUGAGGUGGUCACAGAUAUUGCCAAAUGUCCCCUAGGAGAAAAAUCACCUUCAUUUAAGAACCACUGAACAAAAGCCAUGGCAAGAUAAUUUCAUUCUACAUAUAAUGGAAAUCCAUGGGAGGCUCAGAGCUGGGAAAAACCAUUGCAAUUUACAUUUUUAAAGGGCACUCUGGCUGCUGUUGGCCUAAAAGAAAAACAACAGCAGAGGCAGGAGAUGCAGGAAGAGGUCUAGAUGAGAGGUGACCCUGGCCCAGAUUAAAGAGGGAGCAGUGGACUAUAAGAAGUGAUUGGAUUCUGACUACAUUUUGAGGGUGAAGCCAACAAACUUGCUGGUGAAUUGGAUAUAAAAGGUGAGAGGGAAGGCAGAAUCAAGUAUGGUUUCUAGAUUACUCUGUGGGAAUAAUUAUGUCAUUAUCUAAAGUAGAGAAGACUAGGAGAAAAGUAGCUUGGGGGUUAAAAAAAAUUCUAAAUUUGAGAUGUCCUUUAGACAUCCAAGUAGACAUGCCAGUAGAAUAUAAGAGUCUGGGGCCCAGGGGAGAGAUCCAGGCUGGAAAUGAACAUCCGGAAGUCGUAGAUCGUAGCUCAUGCCUGGGGAGGAUGAGAUCAUCCAGGAAGAGGGCGAUCUAGAAAGGAAAGCUGAGCUCUAGGGCACACCAUAUUUAGAGGUUCAGAGAAUAAGGAGAAGCCAGCAAACGAGGCCAGGGAGGAGGACUAAUGAGGGAGAAGGGACAUUAGGAGAAGAGACAGGGACAUGUGUAUUCCUGAGGUGUCCUGGCACUGUUGUUACAUCUGCCUUAGACUGAGUAGUUGGGGAGCUCCUCAGGCAUUCGUUUGUGUUCAAUGGUGGUGGCAAUGGUACUGAACUACUAUAAGGUACUAUAUCCAAGUUUUAGACAACCAAACGAUUGAGCAAAAGCCACCUUGGUUAAUCUUUAAGAAAUAAGUGGUACUGAUACCACUUUAUAGCCGAAGAAACUGAAAAUGAGGGCACUAUAGCAACUCGCUUUCCAUCACAUGCACUUUAAGCACGACUCCUGGGACUGGAACCUUGGAAAGCCUGUUUCCACAUUCAUGCUUUUUCUGUGGUGUUCUUGGCCUCUGCCUCACAAGGUUCCGCUCAAUGCCUGGCACAGACCUCCAUUCUGACCAUGGCAGGAAUACCUCAUCUCUGCUCAAGUUUAUGUGAGUGCAUCUACAUCUGCUACUGCGUUUGGAAUGGACCAGGAGGAGCCAGAACUGCUCAAUACCAGGGCAAGUGACUGUCAAGAUCCCUCAUGCAACUAAGGCCAGAACCAGCACGAGCACCUGGAGUUUCACACUCCUGGUCCAGGUUUUCCCAUCUUACCUUCUGUGUCUACAACCAAGAUGUUUCCCCAUCCAUCAACCAUAUCCAGUGCAACAGCCCUAAUAGAUAUGCAGGGGAAGUAGCAUUAUUCUCAUUUUCCAGAUUAAGAAACAGAGGCUCAGAGAGGUUCUGUAAUUUGCCUAAAUUAUACCACUAGUAAGAUUCUGAAUCAGGAAUAAAUUCCUCAUCUCCUAAAUCUAGGUAUUACUGAGCUGAAAUAAUCUAUCCCUGACUUAGCCAUUAGUUUUUAUUUCUUACAUAAUAACUUUCCCAAACCAUAAAAGAAAGAAGAUACAAACAAACUUUUCUAAACACCAGUAUUGCCGGUCAGAAUUCUGUAAUAGGUUCAUAGUCGUUUAAGAAGUCAAAAUGACUGGAAGAUGAACAUUUUGUGCACCAUGUCAACUUAAAAUUAUUAUUUUUUGGCUUAAUCAUAAAGAUGCUUUAAAAAGAACCUUUGAAACAUAUUUGUGUUGCUUUAUGAAGCUCUCUGCUUUCUGACAUCUCCUGCUCUUUUUUGGAAAAGUUCAAAAACAGCACUUGAAAACCCCACCCCCAAAAUAUUUUCUUUCAUUUCCA
rnacentral:lncRNA from 10 species